AACUGUAAUGCAGCAAAUUAGUUGCCUGAGUUAAAAGAAAAAAAAAUCAACCCUUGGCCCUUAGACAUCUUUUAAUACAAUGAUGUGUUAGUCAACCAAAUGAUGACCUCAAAUGGCUCUGGCCAAGGCCAUGUGUGUUGUUUUCCAGCCUUAAAAACCUACUUGCGCGCCUCUUGCCAACGUUCCUCCAGUGUUAAAGUGUCAUCUGCAAGGACUGUUGUCUGAUUGUUCCUGAGGGUCGUAGGCUUUUGGUGGGAUCUUAAUUCCAUUCUCUUUGACGUCUUUAGCUGUGAAAAUUAAGAAGCCAAUCAAGACGAAGUUCAGAAUGCCAGUGUUUAACUGGGUUGCUCUGAAGCCCAAUCAGAUCAAUGGCACAGUCUUCAAUGAAAUUGAUGAUGAGCGAAUUCUGGAGGAUUUAAAUGUGGAUGAAUUUGAGGAAAUAUUCAAGACAAAAGCCCAAGGUCCUGCGAUUGAUCUUUCUUCAAGCAAACAGAAGAUACCACAGAAGGGAUCAAACAAAGUGACAUUACUAGAAGCAAACAGGGCCAAAAAUCUUGCCAUAACUUUAAGGAAAGCUGGAAAGACUGCUGAU
rnacentral:sRNA from 1 species